rnacentral:rRNA from 1 species
GAUGAACGCUGGCGGCGUGCCUAACACAUGCAAGUCGAGCGAGAAAUUCAAGAUCAAAUCUUCGGAAGAGAGAAAGAAUGGAAAGCGGCGGACGGGUGAGUAACGCGUAGGUAACCUGCCCUGUACAGAGGGAUAGCCACUGGAAACGGUGAUUAAUACCUCAUAAUACCGGAAGUUCACACGGACAAUCGGUCAAAGAUUUAUCGGUACAGGAUGGACCUGCGUCUGAUUAGUUAGUUGGUGAGGUAACGGCUCACCAAGGCGACGAUCAGUAGCCGACCUGAGAGGGUGAUCGGCCACAUUGGAACUGAGACACGGUCCAAACUCCUACGGGAGGCAGCAGUGGGGAAUAUUGCACAAUGGGGGGAACCCUGAUGCAGCAACGCCGCGUGAAUGAAGAAGGCCUUUGGGUCGUAAAGUUCUGUUCUGAGGGAAGAAGAAAGUGACGGUACCUCAGGAGAAAGCCCCGGCUAACUACGUGCCAGCAGCCGCGGUAAUACGUAGGGGGCAAGCGUUGUCCGGAAUCAUUGGGCGUAAAGAGUACGUAGGCGGUCUGAUAAGCACAAGGUUUAAGGCAACAGCUCAACUGUUGUUCGCCUUGUGAACUGUUAGACUUGAGUGCGGGAGAGGAAAGCGGAAUUCCUGGUGUAGCGGUGAAAUGCGUAGAUAUCAGGAGGAAUACCGGUGGCGAAGGCGGCUUUCUGGACCGUAACUGACGCUGAGGUACGAAAGCGUGGGGAGCAAACAGG